rnacentral:rRNA from 1 species
AAUCAACGCUGGCGGCGUGCCUCAGACAUGCAAGUCGAACGCGAAAUUUCCCUUCGGGGAGAAAGUAGAGUGGCGCACGGGUGAGUAACACGUAGGUAAUUUGCCUUUGGGUGGGGAAUAACUCAGGGAAACUUGAGCUAAUACCGCAUAAUGCAGCGGCUCGACAUCGAGACAGUUGUUAAAGCGGGGGAUUGGAGCAAUCCGACCUCGCGCCUAAAGAGAAGCCUGCGGCAGAUUAGCUAGUUGGUAAGGUAAUGGCUUACCAAGGCGACGAUCUGUAACCGGCCUGAGAGGGCGGUCGGUCACACUGACACUGACAUAC